CAGCAGCCACGGUAAUACGAAGGGGGCUAGCGUUGUUCGGAUUUACUGGGCGUAAAGGGCGCGUAGGCGGACUGAUAAGUCAGGGGUGAAAUCCCAAGGCUCAACCUUGGAACUGCCUUUGAUACUGUUUGUCUUGAGUUCGGGAGAGGUAAGUGGAACUGCGAGUGUAGAGGUGAAAUUCGUAGAUAUUCGCAAGAACACCAGUGGCGAAGGCGGCUUACUGGCUCGAUACUGACGCUGAGGCGCGAAAGCGUGUGGAGCAAACAGGAUUAGAUACCCCGGUAGUCCCUGUCUCUUAUCC
rnacentral:rRNA from 1 species